CGCGUCGUGGUGUAAUCCAGGAAACACGCUCUCAAUGAAUGAGGGAAUAGUGGGUUCAAAUCCCACCGGCGCGGC
rnacentral:tRNA from 1 species